rnacentral:rRNA from 1 species
AAGGAAUAUUGCGCAAUGGAGGAAACUCUGACGCAGCAACGCCGCGUGCAGGAAGAAGGCCCUUUGGGUCGUAAACUGCUGUAGCAGGGGAACAACGGUCUCCCACGGGGAGACGUGAAGGUACCCUGAAAGUAAGCUCCGGCUAACUACGUGCCAGCAGCCGCGGUAAUACGUAGGGAGCAAGCGUUGUCCGGAUUCACUGGGUGUAAAGGGUGCGUAGGCGGGACAAUAAGUCAGUGGUGAAAUCUUACGGCUCAACCGUGAAACUGCCAUUGAUACUGUUGUUCUUGAGUUCGGGAGAGGUUGAUGGAAUUCCAGGUGUAGCGGUGAAAUGCGUAGAUAUCUGGAAGAACACCAGUGGCGAAGGCGGUCAACUGGCCCGAAACUGACGCUGAGGCACGAAAGCGUGGGUAGCGAAC